AUAAACCCGAUUUUUACUUUUGAUCCAUCACCAAUUACAUAAAUUUCAAAAACAAUAAAAUAUUCGACAUCGCAAUCCAAAUUUUUUGCAGGGUGUCAAAACGAGGUUGGAGAUGGAAGUUCAAAAUGUUGAGAAAAUUGGCAAAUUCAACACCGUCAUGUAUGUCUUCAUGGCCGUGACGGUGGGUAUGAUGGUGGCGAAUUAUUGGCCGAUUCUGGGCGGUUUGGGGGGUCAAGUCUCGUUCAAAUCGACCCCGGUGGAGCAGCGGCUCUACGCUAUGUUAAAUUUUUUCGCAUGGUCGAUCUACCUUCUCCUCAUUGCACUGGUCGUAUUGGCGGGAAUUAUUGCGUGGAAGAUGUUUGACGCGGAGGAGGCGAAGGAGAAAAAAAUUCUGGCCGGCAGACUGGAAGUUAUGGACAAGGUGCCAGAAUUCACACACUCACAUUGGUUAUUUAGAUCGCCGAGAUAGUGGCAUCUCCGCUGGUCGCAGUGCUGAUCCCUGUAUUGGUACCGAAUGCAUCGCCAGCCUGGAAGAAAUUCUGGCUGAGUUAAAAUCCACGCACGAUCAUCAAUUUAUCCCCUCCAUCUUGUGACGAGAGGCACGCGACACCGUUGAAACGUCACGUGGAAACGAGUCCACCCGAGAACCGAGAAGUGUUCAUCCUGGAACCAGAAGAGGCCUACGGCAAAAACCGAUUUAGACCAGGAUGUACGGCGCCACAAUGCUUCACCAAACUACGAAUGUGAAGUUUGUGGCCAAAAGCUCUGGUUGGCGACGAGUCUCCGGCGCCAUCGCAAGACAUGUCCUGCUGCAGGACAGGUUCCCGCCUGCUUAGCGAGUUAGACAAGCUCACCAUAAAUACACGUUAAAUCUAUUACUAGUGGCCAAGUGCAACUAAUUUUCAACGUCUCGACGAUUAAGAGUUGCCCGCAUAUUGAAAGUGUCAAGGUUCCCUCUAUUGGUUCAACGAGUUAGCAGUUAAUUUUGCAUAUGUAAAAGGCAUACAAAUUGGCAAAUUGGAUAAGCUUUCAAAAACCGAAAACAGAAUUUGAUUAUCUCAAUUCGUUAAAAAAUGACAGCACAAAAUUUAGACGAAGUGAAAAAUUAGUUUGCCACUGGUGCGAAAAAGUGAUUAUCUCGGAUUAGAAAAAGGCUCGAGACCACUUUAUCCGUCCAGGGAUGAACCGGACAAAAUUAAUCAUACACUAUACGUAUCUAAGGAUAGUGAAAAUUCAAAAUAUAAAAUUUGGCCUUGUCGACCUGUUUGCCAGCAGACCAAAACACGCACGAGAAACGUGAAAAAACUUUUAUAGAAAACCCCAACAGGUCCGUGGGGGUUGCACCCAGACAACUAAAAAUUUCGAAAACAUAUCUGGGCAAGAUCAAAGCCAAUAAGAUGGGCUUCAAAAUUUACAACACGAAAACCGCGCCAAAAUAGAGUGAAGAUAAAAAAGCCUGAGCUAAAGCAAAUUUUGAAAAAAUUGAUGAGAAAAUGUUGAAACUGAUUCCCAGAAGUUUGUCGUCGUGGAUAAUAAAAACCACUGCCCCGUUGACCUCGAAGCAUCAAUCGUGUAAAGUUCUACUCAUGUAGAGUAAAAAUGACGUUUGUUCGAAAUAUAAAUUCAAAACCAAGAAAAAUUUCCAGUGAAAUGCAUAAAAUGGCUGGCGAUCGACAAAAAUGGGAGCGUCUCAAAUCCAUUCGCUUCCACCAAGAACAUGAAGUUUGACCUUUAUUUAAAAGAGUGUAUCAUCAAGAGAUUGACCCCCCUAUCAAAGACAAACACGUUUUAUUUUGGCCGAACAUGGGUACGUGCCACAAUACCAAAAUAAUGAUCGGGUACCUCCAAGGGGAAAAAGUUGAUUUCGGCGAUAAGAAAGACUGCGCUCCAAAGGUACCUCAGUGUCGACCCAUUGAAUGAUUUUGGACAGAAAUUAAGAAAUAAUACUCUCAUGAAAAAAGGACACCAAAAAAUUUUGAAAAAUUUAGGCAGGUUAUAGAGAAAUUCGUCAUAGACUUUGGUGAAACGAGUGGCAAAGCGCUCAUGAGAUGUGCACGACAAAGUAUUCUCUCCACCGGUAGGGAAGGUAUAUUUGGACCACUGAAGGAUGAAAAAACCUUGGCAUACUCAUCGUCAGUAUUGCACAAAAGUUUCAUUACAUUUGAUUCAUGCAUUCAUUUCCUGCAGGUCAAAACGUCCUGACACUUACAAUAUGCGGGCAGCUCUUAUGUUCAUUUAAUCCUAUCAUUAUUAUUAUUAUUAGUGAGCAGAGCACGAAUUUCUAAUUACCAAAAUUGUUUCAACAUUUCUUGAAUUACCAUAAG